UACGGAGGGUGCGAGCGUUGUCCGGAAUCAUUGGGCGUAAAGGGCGCGUAGGUGGCCCGGUCAGUUCGUGGUGAAAGCGCGGGGCUCAACCCUGCGUCGGCCAUGAAUACUGCCGCGGCUGGAGCACUGUAGAGGCAGGCGGAAUUCCGGGUGUAGCGGUGGAAUGCGUAGAGAUCCGGAAGAACACCGGUGGCGAAGGCGGCCUGCUGGGCAGUUGCUGACACUGAGGCGCGACAG
rnacentral:rRNA from 1 species